UCUUGAGUUCAACUCUCAAUGAAAGCAACGCAAGCUUUUUUGUUUUUUGUUUUUUGUAUCUUCCGGCUGUUAUGAUCGCUCCACGUCGCAAGCACACCACCGGUCUCGAGUUCAAACUUUCCAAUUUUCCUCUCGUGCGUUGACUUGAUUGGUUCAUGCUGCAGUGCUGCUUAUCUAUCAUGCUAUGGUUCAAGAAAUGAACAAUCAGAUACCGUGCUAACUUACUUCCAAGCUUUGUCCUCCUGGCUAAUUAAUCCGCCACGGAUCAAAACGCCUUCAGUCUUCAGAAGCUGCUGGCUUGGGUGAUUCCUGCAGUCGACGCUUGCCACGAUCGAGAGAUGGCCAAUCAAAGCAGCCAAUUUUGGCUUGUACAUCGACCCUGAUCGGACAAACAAAACAAAAACGAAAACGAAAGCAAACCUCACCACAUUGGCACGUACGUAUAUAUCCAACGCCGCAUUCCCCCUGCUACCUGUUGGCUGCUGCCGCAUCUGGAUCGAUCGCUGGGAAUUCAUCGCCUGAUGACCUGAUGGGAUCGGACCAACAACAUGUACGUGUCCCGAAAUUCCCGAUCUGUGCCCAUCUGAUCUGAGCAAGCAAGCCACACGUCCCUCUCAGAACCACUGCCCACGUUCCCCUCGCCCGGCCAGGCGGCCAGCAGUCAGCAGAUACGCGCAUGAUUGUCGUACUCGACCGCGUCGCGCCGCUGAUCCAGCAGGGUCCAGCAGAGCCAAGGGGCCAGGAGCAAAUCCAAAACGGCCUUUGCGCCCGCCAAGGGGGAAGGGGCCGUUUGAUGCUGUCGCGCUCGCCGCAGCGGGCAUCGGAUCUGUUUCUGCCCCCCUGCGUGCGCCGCGUGAACCAGGUGAGGAUGGAGACGAGCCCGCGCCGAUCUCCAUGCGACGAGAAGCCGAGGAAAGCGACCGGGUCGAACGGCUUGCAAAAGUCUAUCCGGAUCGAUCUGUUGGGCGAGAGACGACAGUCCGAGAUUGUUCUCAUCCACAUUUGAUCGACCGCCUCGGCACAACAAAGUACAGAGCAUGUGGCACUUCUUGUUUUCCUUUGGCGCUCUAAUGGAUGGCUGCGACCGAGCCCAAGAGUCGAUCAGACACCCGUACCUACUUGCGUAGCAGUACUAAUAUUUGUCCACCAUGAGUGGAGCCUACCGAAAAAUUGUGUUUAUUUUUGUGAGAGAUAAAUUAUACGUUUCUAAGAUGACAAAAUGGAUGAUCAGUCAGUGACAGCUCAAGUCGGCUACCCAUCAUUGUGCGAUGGCAAUGAUAGAGUUCGACGCCCAUAAUCGAGAUCGUAUAUAGCAUGGUA